GCACCAGUAUGUUUACAAGUGCCUUCCCCGCGAGCUCCCAGGCGCAAUGUGUGCUCCUCUCCCUGCGUCCCCAGAGCAGCCCCAGGCCCCAGUAACGCGGGAUCUGCGGGAACAAGAACUGUAGGGCGCUACACCCCCAGGUGCCGAGAGUUAUAUAGGUCAGCAGUCUCACAUGGCUAAAAUUAAGGUGUCAUCAAGCCUGUGUUCCUUCUGAAGGCUCUAGGCGAGAAUUUCUUUCCCAUCUACGAGAGCAAGCAUGUCAAACUCGCGGCCCGUGGGCUACACAUGGCCCACAAUGAAUAUUUCUGCAGCCCAGCCAACAUAACAGUAAGUAAGAAACUUUUUAA